rnacentral:lncRNA from 1 species
GAUCCCUUGCGUAAAAAGUCGACUUUGCCAUUUUGUCCUUUUGCGCUAUCCUAGGGUCUAUAAAUAGGACCCCUAGGUUCUCCUUUUCCUUCAUCCAUCCAUGGCUCUUCUUGUAAGUCUCUUUGCUGAUUUCAUUCAGGGAGAGAUUGAGGAGCUGGAUCGGAUUUUGAAUAUUCUGGAUCCUCGGUCGUCGACCUUGGAUCUUCCUUCUCUGCGCCAACUUAUUGUUGAGCGGCAGAGUGUUGCUGUUGCUGCUCGG